GGGAGGCUCUACAGCCUCAAGCCACCGCUGGCAAAGCAGAAUAGACCGACUGAGUGUCACACCCCAAAACCAAAAAUUCUGAAUUUGAACCUCAAACCCAUAAAUUACUUCGACUGGAUGAACGAGGAGCUUAGUCUCUUACUGGGCGUUGCGUUAUGGAGUCAAAUUGGCUUGGCGAGGCAUUCGAGACAUCCUAAUAUUACACUGAGAAUAGAGAGACUCAGGGAAAGAGCCUCAGGCUAGGGAGAUAGCCUCACACCACGCGUAGACAAAGAACCUCAGGCCAGAAAAGAAGCCACCAGAUGCAAAGGUGAGUUUUGGGGAAGCCACAUGCAUGUGAGCUUCGGGAAGACUCUAGCAACGAGAGCUUUGGAAUAGGAAGUCACUAGAUGCAACAAUGAACUUCAAGUGAGCCUCAGUAGCUCUAUGUGAGCGAGUUCUUCCUCCAUGUUUGAUAAGGAAAAAUAGAAUAGCUAAGUGUGUGCAUGUACUGGUUAAUUUUGAGUCUUUUGAGUAUGUGAUUAGAGAGAAUAUAUUGUAAUAAUUGUGUUAAGAGUGA